GUGCCAGCCGCCGCGGUAAUACAGAGGGUGCGAGCGUUAAUCGGAAUUACUGGGCGUAAAGCGCACGUAGAUGGCUUCGUAAGUCGGAUGUGAAAUCCCCGGGCUUAACCUGGGAACGGCAUUCGAAACUGCGUUGCUCGAAUGUGGAAGAGGGAAGCGGAAUUCCAGGUGUAGCGGUGAAAUGCGUAGAUAUCUGGAGGAACAUCAGUGGCGAAAGCGGCUUCCUGGUCCAACAUUGACAUUCAGGUGCGAAAGCGUGGGGAGCAAACAGGAUUAGAUACCCCAGUAGUCC
rnacentral:rRNA from 1 species